rnacentral:lncRNA from 1 species
UGUUAAAUUCCAGGCGCGGAGUAGUCGUCGCUUCAUUCACCGGGAUAUCCCCAAACACAUGAUGCCCAAAGUGGUGCGGAGUGCCCAUAUGCGUUGCUAGGGUUUAUCGCCCACUCUGGUGUUUGCAGGUACCGGUAAAAACUACCGUUAAGGAAGAAGAAAGAAGAAGAAUUGGGGAAGAAUUCGUUAAUCACAUAAAAUCAGUGAUUAACCUGGUUAAUUGAAUUAAUUUUGUAAUUGUUACACUUUCUUAUUUAUUACAAAAAGUUUAACAACUUCAUUAAUUUAAUUCAAAACUAAUUAUAAAUCUUCUCCUCAAUUGUGAUUGGUCCAUCUCAGAUUUAUUGAAACUAUUGCACUUCAGACCUUGCAUUUUCUUUAACUCGUUUUAUGAGUCACGGUCCAAAUUACCUGCAUAGUAAAAUCUUAUAACAAAAUUAGUUAUUUUAAUAAAACCAAUCGUUUAUUACAUUUCAGUCCUUAUAACGAUUUAUUUGAAAACUUUAUGAAUAACACCCUGAUAGUUUAUAACUAUCAGUUUAUUCAGUUAUGUCAUGACCUUAUGAUUGUUUUAUUACAUUCUGGUCCUUAGACCUGUUCAGUGGUAAAUUGCAUAUUUUACCCUGAACUUUCAGCAUAUUCUUAUA